AUUGAACGCUGGCGGCAGGCCUAACACAUGCAAGUCGAGCGGAUGACAGGAGCUUGCUCCUGGAUUCAGCGGCGGACGGGUGAGUAAUGCCUAGGAAUCUGCCUGGUAGUGGGGGACAACGUUUCGAAAGGAACGCUAAUACCGCAUACGUCCUACGGGAGAAAGCAGGGGACCUUCGGGCCUUGCGCUAUCAGAUGAGCCUAGGUCGGAUUAGCUAGUUGGUGAGGUAAUGGCUCACCAAGGCGACGAUCCGUAACUGGUCUGAGAGGAUGAUCAGUCACACUGGAACUGAGACACGGUCCAGACUCCUACGGGAGGCAGCAGUGGGGAAUAUUGGACAAUGGGCGAAAGCCUGAUCCAGCCAUGCCGCGUGUGUGAAGAAGGUCUUCGGAUUGUAAAGCACUUUAAGUUGGGAGGAAGGGUUGUAGAUUAAUACUCUGCAAUUUUGACGUUACCGACAGAAUAAGCACCGGCUAACUCUGUGCCAGCCGCCGCGGUAACAC
rnacentral:rRNA from 1 species